ACGUAGAUGAAGCAAAAUAUUUGUCAAAUAUUAAGUCAUCACUCUACUCCUUCAAAAAGUAACGUAAUUUCAUUACUGACUACUUCAUUUUCAAAGUAAUUUAAAAAGUACCCAACUAAUAUUAGCCUCCUUUCUCUAUUGUUGCCUAAACGAGGAUACUUUGGAAGGAAAAUGACCAAAAUAAUCACGCACCAUGAAAUGGUAAGUAAAUUUAAUGUGACAAUUGCUUAUGAUUAUUCGCUACAACAAUAUGGUAGUCGGGUUAGAUUAACGCGUUAGUGGCAUCACUGGUCAUGACGAUGGGUAAAUUUAAUUAUUUUGGUGAAACAUAUAAGCAAGACACUUAAACGGUACUAUUUUGUUGAUCAAUGUAUCAAAAGUCCUUGACAUUUAAUCAUUAGCAUGGUUUCAAAAGCUACGAGCGCAACGUCAAAAUAGUUGUAAACAGCACUUUAUACUUAUUGUUUAGUGCCUUUCUAUUAAAUAUAUAUAUUGCUCAAACGAUGGAAAAAUUGGAGUAUAAAUAUUUGAAAUGUAUUGUUCUAACUCCAUACUAAUAAUAAUAUAUCUAUGUGAGUUGAAAAGUUCAUAUUUGUGUCAGACACUACAGCUCUGGCUCAACUAAAUAUAACAAAAAACGUACCGUUC
rnacentral:lncRNA from 1 species